CAUCUUUCUGCUGCCUGUCCUUUUGCCACACGCUCCUUCUCACUCACCCAUUGGCCUAGAGAUGCCUCUCUGCCUCCUCUCCAGGGCCUUACUUCCCUCAACUACCUGAAGGCCGCCACGUCUUCACAUUUGUGUGCCUCUGUUCUCCAUGGGCCUUACUUCCCUCAACUACCUGAAGGCCGCCACGUCUUCACAUUUGUGUGCCUCUGUUCUCCAUGGGCUCUGUUCUCUAGCUGUGCCCGCUCUCUGCUCAAACUCUUUCUGGCCCUGUCCCAGCCUCACUUCUGUACCCUUUCUUGGCCACUGGCUGGAUUUUUCCCAGGCCCUCAGUUUCACAUUCAGGACAACUUUUCCUUCAUCUUUGUCCUGCCAGCCUUCUUCUUUUCUCUUCCCUUCCCAUCAAACAAGCGGGCAGGAACCCUGCAGCCACUCUCACACUCCUGCUCUUCUUUCUCUCCUCUGCCACUUGUGUUUCCUCCAAACAUGCCCAGUAGUUGAAACAAGCCUACCUGUGGAACUACCAGCCUUCCACCAUGCAUUGUGUCAACUCAGUCUCCAUGUCGUUCUGUAUUAUCGCUGCACUACUUGCUGA
rnacentral:lncRNA from 1 species